AGCGAACGCUGGCGGCAGGCCUAACACAUGCAAGUCGAGCGAACCUUUCGGGGUUAGUGGCGGACGGGUGAGUAACACGUGGGAACGUGCCUUUAGGUUCGGAAUAAAUCAGGGAAACUUGUGCUAAUACCGAAUGUGCCCUUCGGGGGAAAGAUUUAUCGCCUUUAGAGCGGCCCGCGUCUGAUUAGCUAGUUGGUUGAGGUAAUGGCUCACCAAGGCGACGAUCAGUAGCUGGUCUGAGAGGAUGAUCAGCCACAUUGGGACUGAGACACGGCCCAAACUCCUACGGGAGGCAGCAGUGGGGAAUCUUGCGCAAUGGGCGAAAGCCUGACGCAGCCAUGCCGCGUGAAUGAUGAAGGUCUUAGGAUUGUAAAAUUCUUUCACCGGGGACGAUAAUGACGGUACCCGGAGAAGAAGCCCCGGCUAACUUCGUG
rnacentral:rRNA from 1 species